rnacentral:rRNA from 1 species
UACGGAGGGAGCUAGCGUUGUUCGGAAUUACUGGGCGUAAAGCGCGCGUAGGCGGCUUUGUAAGUUAGAGGUGAAAGCCCGGGGCUCAACCCCGGAAUUGCCUUUAAAACUGCAUCGCUUGAAUCCGGGAGAGGUGAGUGGAAUUCCGAGUGUAGAGGUGAAAUUCGUAGAUAUUCGGAAGAACACCAGUGGCGAAGGCGGCUCACUGGACCGGCAUUGACGCUGAGGUGCGAAAGCGUGGGGAGCAAACAGG